CCCUACGGGGCGCAGCAGUGGGGAAUAUUGCACAAUGGGGGAAACCCUGAUGCAGCGACGCCGCGUGGGUGAAGAAGUACUUCGGUACGUAAAGCCCUAUCAGCAGGGAAGAAAAUGACGGUACCUGAUUAAGAAGCCCCGGCUAACUACGUGCCAGCAGCCGCGGUAAUACGUAGGGGGCAAGCGUUAUCCGGAUUUACUGGGUGUAAAGGGAGCGUAGACGGCGCAGCAAGUCUGAAGUGAAAGGCAGGGGCUUAACCCCUGAACUGCUUUGGAAACUGCCAUGCUAGAGUGCUGGAGAGGUA
rnacentral:rRNA from 1 species